CGUAGGUGGCAAGCGUUGUCCGGAAUUAUUGGGCGUAAAGGGCGCGUAGGCGGUCCCUUAAGUCAGAUGUGAAAUCCCGAGGCUUAACCUCGGGCGUGCAUUUGAAACUGGGGGACUAGAGUGCAGGAGAGGUAAGUGGAAUUCCUAGUGUAGCGGUGAAAUGCGUAGAUAUUAGGAGGAACACCAGUGGCGAAGGCGACUUACUGGACUGUAACUGACGCUGAGGCGCGAAGGCGUGGGGAGCAAACAGGAUUAGAUACCCUGGUAGUCCACGCUGUAAACGAUGGAUACUAGGUGUGGGAGGUAUCGACCCCUUCCGUGCCGCAGUAAACGCAAUAAGUAUCCCGCCUGGGGAGUACGGCCGCAAGGUUG
rnacentral:rRNA from 1 species